AUAAAGUUUAAUUUUAGCUUAAAAAUUUAUUAUAUUUUUUAUUUACAUGUAAAUUAUAGUAUGUUAAAAAAUUAAUUUAAAUAGUUAAUUUUAGUUUAUUUUAAUCGCAGUAUUAAGAUUUAUUAAUUUAGGAAAUUAAGAAAUAUAAAAAAAUUAUAAAUAUUGACAAAAUUUGUGCCAGCAGUUGCGGUUAUACAAAAAAUGUAAAUAAAUUUUAUUGAUUUGUAAUAAAAAUGUUUUAUUUUAAUUAAAAUUAGAUUUAUAAGGUGAAAUUUAAAAUUUAAAUAGGUUAUUUAUAAAUUAUUUGAUUUUAUUAAAUUUAAAUUUUAAACUAGGAUUAGAUACCCUAUUAUUUUAAAUGUAAAUAGUAAUUCAUUUAAUUAGUAUUAGUUAUGAUCUUGAAAUUUAAAAAUUUUGGCGGUAUUUUAGUCUAUUCAGAGGAACCUGUUUUGUAAUUGAUAGUCCACGAUAAAUUAUACUUUAUUUAUUAGUUUGUAUAUCGUCGUUAUUAAAUAUUUUAUAAGAAUAUAAAUAUUUAAUUUUUUAAAUAAAAAAAUAUAUCAGAUCAAGGUGCAGCAUAUAUUAAAGUAUUAAUGGGUUACAAUAAAUUUAUUUAUAUGGAUAAAAAUAUUAAAAUUUUUUUUGAAAGUGGAUUUGAAAGUAAUAAUAUUAAAAUUAAUAUUAUGAUUUAAGCUCUAAAAUGUGUACAUAUCGCCCGUCGCUCUUAUUAUAAGAUAAGAUAAGUCGUAACAAAGUAGAUGUACUGGAAAGUGUAUCUAGAAUGA
rnacentral:ncRNA from 1 species